AGAAACCAACAGGGAUUGCCUCAGUAACGGCGAGUGAAGCGGCAACAGCUCAAAUUUGAAAUCUGACCCUUCGGGUCCGAGUUGUAAUUUGUAGAGGAUGUUUCGGGUAAGAUCGAGGCCUAAGUUCCUUGGAACAGGACGUCGUGGAGGGUGAGAAUCCCGUAUGCGGCCCACGAUCGCACCCAUGUGAAACUCCUUCGACGAGUCGAGUUGUUUGGGAAUGCAGCUCAAAAUGGGUGGUAAAUUUCAUCUAAAGCUAAAUAUUGGCCAGAGACCGAUAGCGCACAAGUAGAGUGAUCGAAAGAUGAAAAGCACUUUGAAAAGAGAGUUAAACAGCAUGUGAAAUUGUUGAAAGGGAAGCGCUUGCGACCAGACUUGUUCGCGGGGUUCAGCCACCGUUCUCGGUGGUGUACUUCCCCGUGUCAGGCCAGCAUCAGUUCGGGCGGGAGGUCAAAGACCGCGGGAAGGUGCCAUCCUCCGGGAUGCCUUAUAGCCCGUGGUGUCAUGCUCCCAGCCCGGACUGAGGAACGCGCUUCGGCUCGGAUGCUGGCGUAAUGGUUGCAAGCGACC
rnacentral:rRNA from 1 species